CUCCGUGCCAGCAGCCGCGGUAAUACGGAGGGGUGCGAGCGUUAAUCGGAAUUACUGGGCGUAAAGCGCAUGCAGGCGGCCUGUUAAGUCAGAUGUGAAAGACCCGGGGCGUUAACCUCGGAAUUGCAUUUGAAACUGGCAGGCUAGAGUCUUGUAGAGGGGGGUAGGAAUUUCAGGUGUAGCGGUGAAAUGCGUAGAGAUCUGAAGGAAUACCAGUGGCGAAGGCGGCCCCCUGGACAAAGACUGACGCUCAGAUGCGAAAGCGUGGGGAGCAAACAGGAUUAGAUACCCUGGUAG
rnacentral:rRNA from 1 species